rnacentral:rRNA from 1 species
UACGUAGGGUGCGAGCGUUAAUCGGAUUUACUGGGCGUAAAGCGUGCGCAGGCGGCCCGUUAAGACAGGUGUGAAAUCCCUGGGCUCAACCUAGGAAUUGCGCUUGUGACUGGCGGGCUCGAGUACGGUAGAGGGGGGUGGAAUUCCUGGUGUAGCAGUGAAAUGCGUAGAUAUCGGGAGGAACACCAGUAGCGAAGGCGGCCAUCUGGCUGAUAACUGACGCUCAUGCACGAAAGCGUGGGGAGCAAACAGG